rnacentral:pre_miRNA from 1 species
AGUGGGAUAACUGGAUCAAAUGGUGGUUCAUUCCAAAUUUUCUGAGGAAUCUCCAUGCUGCUUUCCAUAGUGGUUGUACCAAUUUGCAGUCCCAACAGCAAU